rnacentral:rRNA from 1 species
UACGUAGGGGGCGAGCGUUGUCCGGAAUCAUUGGGCGUAAAGCGCGUGUAGGCGGUCCGAUAAGUUCGCUGUGAAAGUCCAGGGCUCAACCCUGGGAUGCCGGUGGAUACUGCUGAACUAGAGUGCGGAAGAGGCGAGUGGAAUUCCCGGUGUAGCGGUGAAAUGCGCAGAUAUCGGGAGGAACACCAAUUGCGAAGGCAGCUCGCUGGGACGUUACUGACGCUGAGACGCGAAAGCGUGGGGAGCAAACAGG